UAGGGAAUCUUCCGCAAUGGGCGAAAGCCUGACGGAGCAACGCCGCGUGAGUGAUGAAGGUCUUCGGAUCGUAAAACUCUGUUAUUCGGGAAGAACAAAUGUGUAAGUAACUAUGCACGUCUUGACGGUACCUAAUCAGAAAGCCACGGCUAACUACGUGCCAGCAGCCGCGGUAAUACGUAGGUGGCAAGCGUUAUCCGGAAUUAUUGGGCGUAAAGCGCGCGUAGGCGGUUUUUUAAGUCUGAUGUGAAAGCCCACGGCUCAACCGUGGGGGGUCAUUGGAAACUGGAAAACUGGAGUGCAGAAGAGGAAAGUGGAAUUCCAUGUGUAGCGGUGAAAUGCGCAGAGAUAUGGAGGAACACCAGUGGCGAAGGCGACUUUCUGGUCUGUAACUGACGCUGAUGUGCGAAAGCGUGGGGAUCAAACAGG
rnacentral:rRNA from 1 species